rnacentral:rRNA from 1 species
UAUGACGGGUAUCCGGCCUGAGAGGGUGAACGGACACACUGGAACUGAGACACGGUCCAGACUCCUACGGGAGGCAGCAGUAGGGAAUAUUGCUCAAUGGGCGCAAGCCUGAAGCAGCAACGCCGCGUGGAGGAUGAAGGUUUUAGGAUCGUAAACUCCUUUUGUUAGAGAAGAUAAUGACGGUAUCUAACGACUAAGCACCGGCUAACUCCGUGCCAGCAGCCGCGGUAAUACGGAGGGUGCAAGCGUUACUCGGAAUCACUGGCCGUAAAGAGCGCGUAGGCGGGAUAGUAAGUCAGGUGUGAAAUCCUAUGGCUUAACCAUAGAACUGCAUUUGAAACUACUAUUCUAGAGUGUGGGAGAGGUAGGUGGAAU